rnacentral:lncRNA from 1 species
AACAAACGAGUUAAAAAAAAAGGCACCUUGUAUCAGCACGAGUACAUUCUGAUUAUAUUACAGUUGUGAGUUAUAGUGUCACAACUUCCUCAAAAAAAUAAUCCAUAAACUGAAGAAAUUUUUAUAGAGUGGCCGGUCGGCAUAAACCGUUAACUUCCAUGAAAAGUGCUUCAGAAAACUUCCAUGCUGCAAAUUAACUUGUGGAGUAUAAUUAUAAAUUAGUGCAUGCCACUGUUCUUCCCCAAUAAUGGAUGACAGAUCGAGUAGAAUCCAAAUCCUAAAAGUGAGACGGAAAAACAAUAAGUUAGUCUGAGAAUCUAACACGUUAAUCCAUCCGCAAGACAAACUUAAAAAAGAAAAUAAUAAUAAUAAAUUAAAUAGAUCAAAUACAAUGCACAACACAACACAAAGAAAAAGCCAAUAGGUUACGUACUGUCUUAUUGGCACGUAAGUAAGAGGGAAUCUUAUAACUAAACAAACAACAACUGCCCCUUCUGAUAAUUUAUUCCCAGCCGUCCGUCCGACAAACAGCUUUUGUGAUUUAUCUAGACGCAGCUAUGUUAUUAGUUUAUCAAGCAGCUGCAUGUGAAUUAAGGGUAUUAAUUAAACAAUACAUGAGUAUCAUAUUAUAUGCAUAAACUUUCUCAUAUGCAUACAAGUCGGAAACAAUAGAAACAGCCAAAAGAUGCUGAAGUUUCAGUAUAAAUCUAUAAUGAAGCUGCAGCAAAGUGGAACACUUUCUACAAAAAUACAAAACAUAAUAAAACUCGGAAACUUUCACAAAUACACGCCUGCCUAAGGAUGUCAAUUCAUUCCUUUGGAACAUGCACUUGUUUUGGAUACAAAACAAACUAUAUAGUACUCUAUAUAUCAACCUCAAUUAAGUAGCAAAUCACAAUAAUAUUAUGACAAUUAAGCACGUGAUGUCUAGCUCAUUCGAAUGCAGAUUUUUUCUUGCUCACAGUUUGAAUCCAGUUCCUAGCUAGUAGCAUAUAUAAAACAGACAAUUAUAAUAUAAAAUGAUCUUAUGAAUGAGAUUAAAACUUGGCCAAUUGAAAUCCUAGGUCUUAUUACAUAACUGAUUUUUAUUCUAAAGUGCUUGAACUAUUUUUCCUAGAACCGCUCAAUCCAUAAAGUGAACCUAAUGUGUAAUGGAAUACCAUUUUUCUGACUUUUCAUUUCUGCCACAGUACCUUUGCUUUUUUUCUAAUCACAUGGUUUCCAUGCUGAAAUUAAAAUAAGGUGGAAACGAAAGUACACCAUAAACAUCAACGAACCACACAUGUUGGCCACUUUCAUAAUGGCCAUUGCAUAGAUUGAAUCAUGUAUCGAAAAAACAUGAUUUUAACAGCUUUACAAACAUCUGCAAUGAAUAUUCUCAUAUCCCAUGAGUGACUGGCUGACUGCUUUAUCACAUCAUAAAAGUUACUAUAAAGUUUGUAGUCAUACCAGAGUGGCCAUGUCCAGCACUUGAAAACAUUUUUAAGUACCAUUUGACUAGCUACUAAAAUUGAUGCAACCCGGCCACCACUACAUAAACAAGAGAAUUAUUUUUAGUAAUUUACGAGUAACAUAAUACUAAUUUUAAAAAACAAAACAGAAAAUGUGGAGGACCGAUAGGUGUCUUUCAGCUGGUGCUUCCCCUAAUCCAUUGUCCGUCUCUACUGCCAAAUUAAUUAUUAGUAUACGACAUAAUAUAUAUAUAUAUAUAUAUAUAUAUAUAUAUAUAUAUAUAUAUAUAAUAUAUAUAUAUAUAUAUAUAACACUCAGAGGCAAGCAUACACACAAAAUUGCAUCAUAUCCUACAUUAAUUGCUCCAUGGAUCUAAAACUGAUCAUAUAUCCCCCUAGCAUGUUGCCUUAUCCUAUCCAUUUCCAGUGAGCUAGAAUAGACCAUUGGUCUGAAAAGUGGAAACAUGCAGACCAAUCUAACAGUGUCCCUUUUGCUUUUUCCAUUAUUAGCUUAUUUAUCCAGAACCUACUUGCUGCUCACAUGUAAACCAAACUGAUUUUUAGGUAUGAAUCUAACAACUGUAGCUUAUCG